UACGUAGGGUGCGAGCGUUGUCCGGAAUUAUUGGGCGUAAAGAGCUCGUAGGCGGUGUGUCGCGUCGGCCGUGAAAACCUGCAGCUUAACUGUGGGCUUGCGGUCGAUACGGGCAUCACUGGAGUUCGGCAGGGGAGACUGGAAUUCCUGGUGUAGCGGUGAAAUGCGCAGAUAUCAGGAGGAACACCGGUGGCGAAGACGGGUCUCUGGGCCGAUACUGACGCUGGAGGGAGCGAAAGCGUGGGGAGCGAACAGG
rnacentral:rRNA from 1 species